CAGUCGCCAGGUAAUACGUAGGUGGCAAGCGUUGUCCGGAAUUAUUAGGCGUAAAGGGCUCGCAGGCGGUUUCUUAAGUCUGAUGUGAAAGCCCCCGGCUCAACCGGGGAGGGUCAUUGGAAACUGGGACUCUUGAGUGCAGAAGAGGAGAGUGGAAUUCCACGUGUAGCGGUGAAAUGCGUAGAGAUGUGGAGGAACACCAGUGGCGAAGGCGACUCUCUGGUCUGUAACUGACGCUGAGGAGCGAAAGCGUGGGGAGCGAACAGGAUUAGAUACCCCGGUAGUCCCUGUCUCUUAUACA
rnacentral:rRNA from 1 species